rfam:Schistosoma haematobium scaffold292_12, whole genome shotgun sequence.
AUCCAGCUGACGAGUCCCAAAUAGGACGAAGUAAUGCGCGUCUAAACUGGAU